AAUCCCAGCACUUUGGGAGGCCAAGGCGGGCAGACCACUUGAGGUCAGGAGUUCGAGACCAGCCUGGCCAACAUGGCAAAACCUCGUCUUUACUAAAAAUACAAAAAUUAGCUGGGCGUGGUGGUACACACCUAUAAUCCCAGCUACUCGGGAGGCUGAGGCACAAGAAUCACUUGAACCCAGGAGGUGGAGGUUGCAGUGAGCCAAGACUGUGCCACUGCACUCCAGCCUCAGUGACAGAGUGAGACUCUGUCUCAAAAAAAAUUAUUAUUUUUCUACAAAUAUCAUAUAUUUUUCUCCAAUCUAGUGGACUUAGCGUCUCAUUAAGUGGGUGUGAGGAGAAUACACAGCAGCCAUAGCCUGGCUCUGGGUGAAGUGACUCAAAUUGCUCAACUGAAGUCCCGGCAAACCCUCCAGUACACCUACUUUCUCCUGCCUCUGCCACCCCUGAGACAGCAAGACCAACCCCCUCUUCCUCCUUCCCAGUCUACUCAACAUGAAGACGACAGAGAGGAAGACCUUUAUGAGGAUUCACUUCCACUUAAGGAAUAAUGAAUAUGUUUUAUCUUCCCUAAAAAAAAAAAUAAAAGAUGGGGAGGAUGGCUUGAGCCUUUUGUGUAUUUCUCAAAA